UUCGGGAGUCACAUUUGGAGAAAGGGAAGGCAAGGAUAAGAAUCCAAAACACCCUUUCAACCUAAUCAAGGCUAGUUGCGCGAUUUAGUCAAAGAUUUUCUUAUUUUAACCUUAAGAUUUAUCACAUUUGGAUGUACUAUAUGCAUGCAAACCCUAGAUCUAAGAGGGUAUCGGAGGGUCGAAAUUUCUCUUCAAAACUCGAAUGUAGCCAAUCACAUUAAUUGUGAUGCCCAAUAAAGACUCUUCGAAAAAGUCACGAAUAAUGCAAGUCAUGAGACUCGAAAGAAAGAAAAAGUAAAGAAAAUAAUAAUAUACAAAUGUGCAUGACCUAAAGGAAUGCAUCAUAAUGGGUGCGGGGAAACUAAUGCUCGUGACUCAAUUUUCCCUUGAAUAGAGGGAAUACGAGCGUGCUAAGACUAGAAAGUCAAACUCGUCCAUAUCCCAUACUCAAGGGGUUAUCUCUAGUCUAAUCGGGCAAAAAUGCACUAAUCUACCCCCUAAUUUCCUAAAUGAGAUGCAAAUCUAAAUGUUAUGUAUAUACAUAGGGGUAAGGGAUAUUUUAUUAGGGGAAAUAUUAUGUGAAAAUGGUAAAGAUCCUAAAAAAUGGAAAAAUAUGCAUGAAGUGUAAUGUAAUCAUACAAGCAUGAUCUAGCGAGGGAGGUCCCUAAAGGUCUAGUAUUGGACUAGCCCAUAUCUAUGAAUUCCUACUAGCAUUGGACUAGUGGAAAAUCGGAAUGAAGGGCCACAACUAGCAUUGGACUAGUGUGGUGACGGGAAAGAGGGGCCACGACUAGCGUUGGACUAGUGUGGUAACGUCACACAUUCAUUACAAUCAAAUAAAUCAUGUAAAGCCUAAUAAAACAAAUAAACACAUAUAUCACAUAACACAUAAGCAUGGUGUCUAGAUGCAAGAUCUUAGGAAAAGCGAUUAAACACAUAGGGCAUAUAGGCAUGCAAAAACACACAAGACAAAAAAAGCAAAGAACCCUAACUAUUACACUUGGGGAGGCCCUACUACAAUCUAAAAAGGGGAAAUAAAUAAUUAAUUAAAAUAAAUACCUAACUAUUACAAAUUUGGCAUUCAAGUACCUUUCAAAUGAUAGAUAUACAAUGCUAAAGCCAAUAAAGCAAAUAAAUAAAUAAAUGAAAUAAAAAAAUAAACAUCCAAGGGGCAUGCAAUUAAACACGUAAAGUCACAUAGGGCACGUAGGGUCAAAUAGAGUAAGAAAUAAGGGAUAGGGUGUACCUCCCUUGAGUUGGAGGUCUAAUGAAGUGAAGUCACUUAUUUACCCUCCAAAAUACAAAGAAAAUGUCAAGGCAUCACUUUAAUUAACAAAUAAUCAUAAAAGAUAACAAUGAAUUGUGAAAUUGAAUCAAUUAAAUCAUAUAAACAACCCAUAUUUAAGAAGUCAAAAGAAGAAAGGACUUAUUGCAAAAAUUAACAAAAUUUUGAGGUCAAAUUAUAAUCAUCACAAAGAUCCAGGGUCACAAUUAAAGAAAAAUAAAGUUUAGGGGCCUAUUUGCAAUUAAAUUAGGGACCCGAUUGAAUGAAAUUGAAAGUUUCUAAGGCCACAGUAUAGUUAAGGAGAAAUCCAGGGACUGAUUUGCAAAUCCGGUUACCAGAUUCUUAAUCAAACAGGCCAUUGGCCAUUUUCUAACUUCUUCUUGGGCCAACACCACUUGGCCCGAUCGGAAGUCCAAGGGACUGAAAUGGGUCAACCCACUUUUUACCAAUUAAAACCCAACCAAAUUAAACAACGACCCAAUCCUAAAACCCAACCAAAACUUUUGAAUUGUAACAUUCCUAAGCCCAACAAGAAGCCCAAACAAAUAUUAUUAAACCCACUUUUCAAACUCAACCAAAUGUUAUUACUCAAGAACCCAAACCAUAAAACUAAACCCAACAAGAUUAGCAAAUCAACUAAAAUAAUCAAACCACAAUUAUGAUCUAAAUCCCGGAAUUAAUCAAUCCAAAAGAAUACUUAAAAAUAUUGAAAAAUGAUUAAAUCUAAAAGGGAGAAAUGAGUUCAACUUUUUCAAUCCUUCGGGCUACAUCAAAAUGAAGGGGAAACUUGGGAGGUCCAAUCACAACAAAAACAGGGACCUAAUUGGAGGGAAUAAUCAAAUCAGUCGGGCCGUGAUGAGAUUACUCAUGGUUCAGGGGCCGAAAUUAAAGAAAAGUAACAUCCAGGGGUCAAUUUAUGUUUAAAUCAUGACUUAAUUGAACAAGAUCUGGAAGUUAUGUGGGCUUUAAUGUGACUUCACCAAAGGUCAGAGGUCAAUUUGAAAUUAAUUCAUAACCUACUUGCAAGAAAAAACAAAUCAUUCAGGCCGUUAUAAAAAAUACUCAAAAGUUAGGAGACUGGAACUGCAAAAUCAAACGAUUAAUCAUCUUCUCCAAACAAUCUAAAUGUUAGCUUCCAUUUCAGCUUUCUUUUACGGACAAAAGGAACGAAAACUCCAACUCUGACCAUUUCCAAUCAAAACGAAAAUCGCAAGAUCCUUCCCCUGCCAUUUUAAUUCGAAUUCAUACGAUGGGAGGCAUAAAGGAACAACAAGAUGCAAGACCGCAAUACAUCAGAACUUCUCAGGUGCGAGGAAAUGAACCUACGGACUUAGCCGGUUCUUUAACAUGAAAAGGAAAAAAAUGCAAACGAAUCUUCUGUCAAUAAGGAUUUUCAGCCAGGCAUUUCGUCGAACAGGUUAGGGGCAUCAAAAAUUUCACUAAUCCCUUAUUCAAAUGCACCUAUAAUUGGCCCAAAAUUAUUCAGAAAUCCAAAGGACAUCAGCCCAAACAAACACAGAAAACAUGUGCGAUCAAACAUUCACAGAGAAUCAACAGGAAAACUUUAAUUUCAAAUUCACAAGAGACAUGUUUCGGGAUUCUAGUGUGUACAUUCGACAAAGAAAGGAAACACUGAUAUUCAAAGGCAAAAAGAGGGCUUACAGUGUUCUUGCUCCGUAAAAAUCCGCAGGCGAUGACGGUGGAUUCCGGUGGAUCCGCCUGGUCUUUCUCCCUCUAGUUUUUCCUCGUCACACCUGCUCUCUGCUGCUCCUUUUUUCUAGCCACGGGUCCCCUUUUCCUCCUUAUCAUUUGCGGCCUUUUUCCUCUGUUUUUCUAUUCAGCCCAACCGUCCGAAGCUUUCUUCCUCUAGCUCCCUAUCUCGGCCCUCUUUCUUUCCUUUGGCCAAAGCCUUCCCCUCUAAUCUUUCUUGUCCUUUUUCAGCCCCCAGACGCAGCCCCCUGUUUUUCUUUUCCGUUUUUCUUUUGCUGCCUUUCCUUUUCUUCCUCAGCCGAAACUUUCCUUCUAAUCCUCCUUGCUCUCUGUUCUUAGUCGAAGCCUUUUGCUUGAGCGGCGGCGGCGAUGGACUCCGGUCACGGUGGUGGCGGCUAUGAGCAGCGGCGGUUCCUCUGUUCCUUGCCACAGCUUCGCUUCGAUUUCUUAUUACAGCUUUCUUUCCUCGCCGAAGUAUCUUCCUUCCCCCCUUUAGACGCCCCCUUUUCUUUUCUUUAUUUC
rnacentral:lncRNA from 1 species